rnacentral:rRNA from 1 species
GACGGGCCCGCACAAGCAGCGGAGCGUGUGGUUAAUUCGAUGUUACACGAAGAACCUUACUGGGUUUGACAUGCUAGUGGUAAUGAAGCGAAAGCUAAGUGACCCGCAAGGGAGCUAGCACAGGUGCUGCAUGGCUGUCGUCAGCUCGUGUCGUGAGAUGUUCGGUUAAGUCCGCUAACGAGCGCAACCCUCGCUGUGUGUUACAAGUGUCACACAGGGCCGCCGGUCUUAAGCCGGAGGAAGGUGGGGAUGACGUCAAGUCAGCAUGGCCUUUAUGUCCAGGGCUACACACACGCUACAAUGGUCAACACAAUAGGUUGCUAAGCCGCGAGGUGGCGCCAAUCCAUAAAGUUGGUCUCAGUUCAGAUUGUAGGCUGCAACCCGCCUGCAUGAAGAUGGAGUUGCUAGUAACCGCAGGUCAGCUAUACUGCGGUGAAUACGUUCCCGGGGCUU